rnacentral:tRNA from 1 species
GGGGUUGUGGCUCAGAGGUAGAGUGCUUGCCUACCAUGCAUGGGGCACUGGGUUCGAUCCUCAGCACCA